rnacentral:rRNA from 1 species
GAUGAACGCUGGCGGCGUGCCUAAUACAUGCAAGUCGAGCGAAGCGGGGACGGGGGAGUAACACGUAGAUAAACUCCUAUAUAACUGGGAUAAAUUAGGGAAACGAGAGGUAACACGGAUAAUUGUAGGUGGAUCCGCGCUGCAUUAGCUAGUUGGUAAGGUAACGGCUUACCAAGGCAACGAUGCAUAGCCGACCUGAGAGGGUGAUCGGCCACACUGGAACUGAGACACGGUCCAGACUCCUACGGGAGGCAGCAGUAGGGAAUCUUCCGCAAUGGGCGAAAGCCUGACGGAGCAACGCCGCGUGAGUGAUGAAGGUCUUCGGAUCGUAAAACUCUGUUAUUAGGGAAGCGGUACCUAAUCAGAAAGCCACGGCUAACUACGUGCCAGCCGCCGCGGUAAUUC